AAAAAAGUCUAGAUAAAUAACUUUGUUAAGAAGAACUAAGAACCGAAAUGCCCACCUUUCCUCCCAGCCUUCCCACUGAAGUCUGCACAGCGACUCCCUCCCAACACAUCUCUAUGACAAAUGAGUCCUGAAUGACAAAACAUAUCUUCAGGGUUCACUUUUGGGCAUGUUGUAGAGGAAGGGGAUCACUAAGAAUGAAGCAUCCCAGGAACAAAGCAAUUACCAAGAGUGAGCAAAUGAAGAUUUCCUGGAAAGUGUAGAGCCUGUACAAACAUGAGAAAGGUUGCACUUGGAGAUGAUGUGCAGUCAGAUCCAAAGUGAAAAUAUAUAUCAUUUGCGCAUGUGCCUUGCCCUGUCCACUGGGAACAGCGGAUUGUACAGGUCCAGGCCUGUUCUCAGAAGAGCAAAGUGGAUAGUCCUGCAGGCAUCAGGGGGACUGGCUGGCUACCGACUGUGGCAGACGCAAACUCAUGGCAUGCUUGAUUGGGAGCUCUGUCGCUGCUCAGUCCAGUAACUGUACUGCAAGCACAGAAAGGGAAAGCACGUUCUUGGGCUGGGCUGGGAAUGACAAAGACUGCAGCUGUGCAGCUGUUUGUGAAUGGCACUCAAACCCAUCAACGCCAGCUGAACAAGGACCAUGGAAGACAACCUUACUGCCCUUUCCUUCAGAGAGACCUGAAUUUCAGAGAGGUGCACUGAAACAGCAGACAAAGUCUUUGGAGAGGAAGAAGAGACCAAAAUUAUAAAUACAUUUUUUCUUCAUUGAUACCAAUAGCACACUAGUGUAGCUUUUAAAAAUACUGCCUGUCUUUGAGUACAUCAGAUCUCAAACACAAAUGUUUUCUUAGCAUUUGCUUCAAGAGGAUUCAACAGCAAAUGAUAAACAGGAUGCUUCAUUCAGCAGCUGAGAGUUUCCCUUGGUCAUAUCAGAUCAUUUUUACUACUAAGCACAAAGGUUUGUUGCCACAUGAAUUCAAUUUGGAGCAGAAACUGAGACUUUUCAUUCAAUUUUUCAUUUAUGGUACUACAAUUCUUUUGUAUGCCUGUCUUUCUCUGUGUCCUGUUUCUCCUAUUCUUUUCUGAUACCCUCAGGUUUUAAGUCCAAGUCCAAAAUCAGUGAACUUCAAACAGUAAUUUUGUCUUGAAUUUUUCUUUUUCCCAUAACCCCCUUGUUGAGUCACAGCCCUUUAAGAUCUAAGUCAAGCAAAAGCAAAACAACUGCUAGAGAAAGGAAAAUCAUAUUACAGCUUGUGUAAAGGAAAAUAAAAUAUGUUUCCAUUUCA
ensembl:lncRNA